AUUGAACGCUGGCGGCAUGCCUAACACAUGCAAGUCGAGCGGUUGAAGGGAGCUUUCUCUUGUAUUCAGCGGCGGACGGGCGGGUAAUGCCUAGGAAUCUGCCUUGUCGUGGGGGAUAACGUCCGCAAACGGGCGCGUAUCCCACAUGGGUCCUUAGGGAGCUGUUGGGGGAUCUUCGGAGCUCACGCUUUGAGUUGAGCCUAGGUCGGUUUAGCUAGUUGGUGGGGUAAAGGCCUACCAAGGCGACGAUCCGUAACGGGUCUGAGAGGAGGAUCAGGCACACUGGAACUGGGACACGGUCCAGCCUCCUACGGGAGGCAGCAGUGGGGAAUAUUGGACAAUGGGCGAAAGCCUGAUCCAGCGAUGCCGCGUGUGUGAAGAAGGUCUUCGGAUUGUAAAGCACUUUUAGUUGGGAGGAAGAGCAGUAAGUUAAUACCUUGCUGUUUUGACGUUACCAACAGAAUAAGCACCGGCUAACUACGUG
rnacentral:rRNA from 1 species